UAGAUGAGUAAACUAUGUGCAGGGAUUUUAUUCCGAAGUGGGUGAACUGAAAAGGUAUUCAAUCCAUCACGACCGGGGCGGCAGAUCGAUGGGAACGCAGAAGUUGUCUUCAUACGGCCAGCUGAAGCUGUGGUUGCUGUUAAGAGGUACAGCAAGGUUCAGCUUGAUGGGAAACCUAUGAAGAUAGAGAUCGUGGGAACAAAUUUUGCACCUCCUCUUGCUAAUGCCGCUUUUGGAAAUUCUAAUGGACUUUCUGGACGUGUAUGAAGUAGGGGUGGUGCAUUGGGACAACUACGUGGUGGCGGCGGCGGACUUGGAAGGGGCCUUGAUGUGGAAGGGGCUGUGGUGAAAAGGUAUCUGCUGAAGAUCUUGAUGCAUAUUUAGAGAAGUAUCGUUCAGAAUCAAUGCAGAUAAAUUGAAGUCAUUUCUGGUGUCUUGGUGGUAGUGCCUACAUCUUUCGUGCAUUGCUUUUGUGUGCUUGAUCAUGCAGCAAUGGAGCUAUCUUCUAUGUCUCAUCCAAGUUGUAUUAGUGAUUUCGUAAAUACUUGUUAGAGAAAACUAUUAGAAUCUUUAUUGUGGAAGUUUGGGCUUUUAUUGCGUAUUGUUCUUUGAUGUGGGUUGAUGGGCAGCUAUCUCUAUAUAAUGCACCUUUUGCUUUUUGUUUAGCUUCGUGAUUUUAUAGGUUGGGGUCGGAAGAACUAUUUUCUUUGACAGAAAAUUUUGUCUACAAAGGUCAGAGAAUCAAACUUUGUCACGAGCUGCGCCAUGCUGUGAUGUCAAUUGGUUCCCUCUUCAUAGUAAAAUCAGGGAGAUAUGGAGGUUCUCGAGUAAGCUGCAUCUAUUCUGUCCGGUGAAAUAUCAGUUCCCUGAUUGUUUGAUGAAUCAUGACUGCUGAUGCAGCUCAUAAUAGGGACUGCAACUUGCAUCUCUGCUUCAUUCAACCUGAUGAUGUUGAAAACGUAGGUGGAUAUAGAGCUUGGAAUAUGGUUUGCAGCUGGAAUGUCUGGGUGCUGGUUAAACUACACUGACGAGUGAGAGCUUUGCACUGCCUUCUGCAUUCUUCGAAGCUCCUGCUUUUGGGUCAGAAUGCAGCUGGUUGACCCUUGAUAGUCAUUAUGCUUGCGCAAAUCAUCUUGGGCACGAGAGGGUAAAUCCAACACUUCUUGAAUUGCAAUUUGAAAGCUGCAAUUGCAUCCAGACCACUGCUCUUGCUAAGUCCACUAUAUUCCUAACCAACAAUUGUAUGUCAUUUCGUGGAGUUAGUUUGGUGCUGUUGAGAAAUAUAGCAGUAUUCCAAUUUUUUUGGAAAGAAAAACAAAUU